UAAUAUCGCGUUCAAAUCGUGAUCAAAUCGUAGAAAUAAAAAUAACUUUACGGAUAAUUAAUCUUGGGAAUCGUAGAAAUCAUGGAUCUCCAUGAUUCAAACGAUGACACUGUGAUGUUUAAACUCGCUAACCUUGCAAGUCAAGUGCAUCCAACCACGAACGUCACGUGCUAACAUGGCACUCUCUUCCUCUUCCAUUAAUGACUCCAUGUUAAAUACUUGGAACAUUCGUCUAAAUUACACGAUUCAAAUUACACGUUAAUAUCUCGACGAGCUUCUGGAAUAAUCCUCGAUUGUGAUUGGCGAUUACUUUGAACGAUGACACGAUAUAAAAGGAAAUAGAAAGACAGCCUUGGAUUAUGGAUGCGCGAGAACCGACCUUUGUCGCGCAUCUCUAUCUGACGUAACGCAGAAAUUCCUUGUUUCAUCUUUUCAUUUCUAUACGUGAGAUUAUUAUUAUUAUUAUUAUUAUUAUUUUUCUUUCCUGUGAGUAAAUUUCUAUCGAAAUUUUAUAGAUUGAAUUGUAAAUCAGCCUUUCAAUUCUAAAUCAGUAUAAAAAUUUAUCCUUAUAAAUUAUAUUCAAUAUACUUUAGAUAUAUUUGCUCUUUGUAUUUAAUUGUAGGUAAUUGUAUUUAAUCAAUUGAAAUUUUUCAAUUCGUGUAAGAUAUAACACGAAAUGAUUCGUUAAAAACAAAAAGACACUGAUUUCAGAAUAUUAAACGUAUCUUAUGAUCUUAUAUGAAAGAAGUUGUACGAAAGAAAAAGAACAUUGAUGAUGAUCGAGAAAGAGAGGAUAAUAAAAAAUAUAUUAUAUUGUUUAAUUAAAAGAUCAUGUUGAGAGAUCAAUGUAUUGAUAUAAUCAUUCUCGACUGAAAAUUAUAAUUAUAUAUUAUAAUUACGUAAGAUUGCAAUUAACAUUUCAGGAAUAUUCAUGAUGUAUAACAACAUUCGUAAUUAUAUGCUCGCCAUUACAAAUCUUUAUUGAUAAAUACGAUGAUUCUUCGACGCAUAACUUUUAUAAUUUUACAUUGUUUAGUAGAAAAUUGUUCAAGUAAACACAUAAAUAUUUAAUUUUCUUUUCUAAUUUAUUUAAUUAAUAUAUCGUUUCAAUGAAUUUUUAUUUUUUUAAUAAAAUUAUUUUUCCCAAUAUUAUUAUACCAUAUGCAUGUGAAGUGAAUAGAAUAACAGUACCGAAACAAUGUUAACACAAAUAGUCCCGUUAUAAUUUGUAAUUUGUAAACAUGAGUUACCAAGUGCCACGAAUAAUUCAUAAAUUAUAAUCUGCGGAAAACUAUCAACAACUCGUGGGAUUUAUAUACGUGUAAACCAAACAAGCUAUAAAGUUGAAAAUGGAAACGAUGAAUUUCAAAAAGAAAAGAAGAAAAGAUUAUUUCUUCCAGGAAUACUUUCUUGAAAUUUUUGAUUAUGCCUAUAUCUUAUUUAAAUUUAUUAUUAAUAUUCGAAAUCAUUUGUUUGAAUAGAUACCAUUGUAAAAGGAACUUUUUUCAAAUUUUCAAAUAUCUAUAUUUUCACUAAAUUCACAGUAAAUCGUUAUAACAAUUAAAAAGAAAAAGGGAGAUUUUCUUUUCUAAGAAUUUGUUUAGCUUACUUUUUAAGAGAUUUUCUUUCCAAGAAUUUGUUUAGCUUACUUUUUAACAAUGUCGAAUACUAAAAUGUUUUCACUUUUUAAAAUUUCAAAUUCUCCUUCGACAAAUUUUCUCCAAGAAGUAUUCUCUCCAAUGAAAAAUAUAGAUAGAAUCGUCAUCAAUAAGAUAAUUACGUUGUUCGUAUUUCAAGGCAGUAGAAUAAGAGUUCUUAAGACAUCGCAUCUGCGAGAGAGAAGGGAUGAAAACGAAGACUGUGAAAACAUAGCAUACAUAACAGUUAUUCUCGCGUUGAAGGCAAUCGUCGAUUGGAAUGCGCCAUCCAGAGAAGAAGACUCGUUACGUUCUAUGUGUAAUUUAACAAUUAAGAGAAGAUCAAAGGAAAAUCUUUGGAAGGUAACGACAGCUGCGAAAGCGAGUCGAUGAAAAAUCAGUGGCCGCGAUAACUUCCGCCUCGAAGCGAUGUCCGUCAGCUGUCGUUUACAAUACCCACGGCAUGUAAUGGUACAAUGCAUAAAAUAACUGGAUAUUAUUGUAAAAUUGACGGUACGUUUUAAUCAAGAAACUCGCGGACAUGCGAAACGAAGGAACUUCUUCAGAAUUUUCAGAAACCGAAAAGUAUGAUUUUCUUAUGAAAUUUUUCAAAAUAUUGUUCCUUAUUAUUCUAUCUUUAAAAAAACGAACGUCGAAUUACUUAAUGCUAUGUACAAAUGUAAAGUAAAAUCUUAAGACUACUCUUUCUUUUUUUUUUUUUUUUAAAUACUUUAAGAAAAAGAAUAAUGAAUUUAUAAAAAGAGAAUUAGUAAAUGUUCGUUCCUGAAACAAAGUAGAAAGCAGGAAAAAUAGGUGAGAACGCGUUUAUCUUUCGAACGAUUACUUUCGCCGAAAGAAAAAAGGGAAGUAGAGGAACGUAAACAAAAAAUUAAAGUAUGCAAAUGAAUUUACGGGGAACACGUAAUCGAGCAUGCUUUACGUUAUUCCGGUACCGUAUGAUGUAUUAUAUUAAACCUGCAAUUUCAAGUGCAUCUUAUUCGACGAUGAACUUUGAUCCCGCUAAACGAAAGCCAUCAUUAUAUAAAUAUAAGCGUGACUAAUAUGAUCUAUCUGGUACGUAACAUCAAUAUCAAGUUCAGGAAACAUGGAAAAUUUUUUUCUAAAUCGAAAUAUGAACUUAAAUCCUUAGAAAAAUAUAUUCAUAAGUAAGUACGGUUUCUGUGUCUAACGUUUCAGUAUCGUGUUCAUCAGAUGGAAGAAAAAUAAAAAACUUAUUUACAAGGAAAUUUUAUCGUGAAAAGUUAUUUGAAUUGGAUUUUUUUCUCUAGAAAUGUAAACUAAAUUCGUAGAAAAUUAAAAUGUGUAUAAUGCAAACUUUAAAAUUUGCAGAUAUUUCUUCAAGAGAUGUAUGAUGUAUGACGCCAUUUAUCACUGUAACGAAGAUUAGAACGUACUGUAAUUGCUUCCUAUUUUGCCUACCUUCCAUCCAUAUAUAGGGGAAGAAAAUGAUGUGAGAUAAUUUUAUCGCAUUUUUUUAUUCGUCAUCUAUAUAUUUUCUAUUCUAUCUCUUAAUGCUUUUAAAAGC